rnacentral:rRNA from 2 species
UUUUUGGAGAGUUUGAUCUUGGCUCAGGACGAACGCUGGCGGCGUGCCUAAUACAUGCAAGUCGAGCGCAGGAAACUUUUCUGACCCCUCCGGGGUGACGAAGAGUGGAAUGAGCGGCGGACGGGUGAGUAACACGUGGGCAACCUGCCUGUAAGACUGGGAUAACUCGCGGAAACGCGAGCUAAUACCGGAUAGAAUUUCUCAUUGCAUAAUGGGAAAAUGAAAGGCGGCGUAAGCUGUCACUUACAGAUGGGCCCGCGGCGCAUUAGCUAGUUGGUGAGGUAACGGCUCACCAAGGCGACGAUGCGUAGCCGACCUGAGAGGGUGAUCGGCCAC